UUCAGUUCAGUGAUGUCUGAUCUUCAGUAUCUUCCACCUCCUGCUCUCUGAUGCCGUUGAAAGCUUGAUAAAAAGUCACAUCAUCCCAUUCAGUGGUGGUGAUCUCGUUGUUCCGCAUCCCAGCAAAGGCAUAGAUCAGGAUUCUCUUGGAAAUUUAAAAUGAUGAAAGAAGAAUGGAAGAGCCUAGGGGCGUAAUGCGAAGGCUAUCAGAUCCAGAGAGAAGAAGAAAUCAGCUAGUGAUCAAGCCUGUGACCUAGAAUCUGGCAAUCAGUGUGAGUCCUGGAUUUCAAAGUAAGCAGCGUAAGAGGUGGCCAUAUGCGAGAGAAUCCACCUUCUAGGAAGUGCCAUGGUGGACGUGACUUGUUCUUCCAGGGCAGCAAUGGUAAGCUGCUGCCACCCAGUCCUGAGUGUCAUUAGCUAUAGACAGUUGGACACUGUGCUAUCUCAACUAGAGCCACCCCCACAGUAGACAAGCACUGUCUCCAUCUCUCUCACUUUUCCAGAGA